GACGAACGCUGGCGGCGUGCUUAACACAUGCAAGUCGAGCGAAUGGAUUAAGAGCUUGCUCUUAUGAAGUUAGCGGCGGACGGGUGAGUAACACGUGGGUAACCUGCCCAUAAGACUGGGAUAACUCCGGGAAACCGGGGCUAAUACCGGAUAACAUUUUGAACCGCAUGGUUCGAAAUUGAAAGGCGGCUUCGGCUGUCACUUAUGGAUGGACCCGCGUCGCAUUAGCUAGUUGGUGAGGUAACGGCUCACCAAGGCAACGAUGCGUAGCCGACCUGAGAGGGUGAUCGGCCACACUGGGACUGAGACACGGCCCAGACUCCUACGGGAGGCAGCAGUAGGGAAUCUUCUGCAAUGGACGAAAGUCUGACGGAGCAACGCCGCGUGAGUGAUGAAGGCUUUCGGGUCGUAAAACUCUGUUGUUAGGGAAGAACAAGUGCUAGUUGAAUAAGCUGGCACCUUGACGGUACCUAACCAGAAAGCCACGGCUAACUACGUGCCAGCCGCCGCGGUAA
rnacentral:rRNA from 1 species